rnacentral:rRNA from 1 species
GAUGAACGCUGGCGGCGUGCCUAAUACAUGCAAGUCGAGCGAACGGACGAGAAGCUUGCUUCUCUGAUGUUAGCGGCGGACGGGUGAGUAACACGUGGAUAACCUACCUAUAAGACUGGGAUAACUUCGGGAAACCGGAGCUAAUACCGGAUAAUUUUUUGAACCGCAUGGUUCAAAAGUGAAAGACGGUCUUUCUGUCACUUAUAGAUUGAUCCGCGCUGCAUUAGCUAGUUGGUAAGGUAACGGCUUACCAAGGCAACGAUGCAUAGCCGACCUGAGAGGGUGAUCGGCAAAACGGGAACUGAGACACGGUCCAGACUCCUACGGGAGGCAGCAGUAGGGAAUCUUCCGCAAUGGGCGAAAGCCUGACGGAGCAAAGCCGCGUGAGUGAUGAAGGUCUUCGGAUCGUAAAACUCUGUUAUUAGGGAAGAACAUAUGUGUAAGUAACUGUGCACAUCUUGACGGUACCUAAUCAGAAAGCCACGGCUAACUACGUG